UCUAGGACCCGGUGACUCUUCUUCCGUCUUUUGGCUACUUGAUGCUCUCAGUGCUCUCGUCUGUGUGGACUUCAUACAAACAGAUGACCAGCACAGUAUACAGGCGGUGUCUCUAGAUACGUCGGAUCGUGUCACAAUAAAUAAUCACAAAGGAAAACAUAUCACAAGUAUCUGUACUCUGAACGUGCUCAUCCAUGUGUUUGCGCGCCGCAUGCGGGAUUCUGUGAACAUCACGCAUGAGACAACGCUGGAAGGGCGGGAACUUUAUAAAGCUACUUUAUCUCAAAGAAGCUUAACUUUAACAGAGGAUUAGCUCAACAAUGAACCAGCAUGGAUUUCUUAUCUACCUUUCUGUUAUGGCUUUUUGGCGAACACGUUCUGGUGUAGAGGUGUCAGGCUCAGAUGCCUUUAAAAACAACAUUACGCUCUUCACUCGGAUUUUGGACCGACUGCUUGAUGGCUAUGACAACAGGUUGAGACCUGGUCUCGGAGGUAAGAGUACAGAGCUGACACCAGUUUUCAGACUAAACCUUGUGAUUAUUGGGGAAUAUUAGCCUAACUUGUGAGUCAUUAUUGCCCUGCACAGCCUCAUUUAACAUCCUAAUUUCCUGAAGUCGUUACAUUCAUAUACUCAUAUACACUUACAAAAUUACAAUCAGAGUACAGAGGAAAAUUACAAUCUUAGUGAUUUUCAUAAAAAUACUUUCGUAUAACAGAUGAAAUCCCAUAAAUUAGCCCUUGGUUAAAAACAGGAAGAAGUUUUAAUUGCAUUCAGGUGAAUGUAUGCAUAAAAACAUAUAAACGUUACCAAAAUGUUACUAAUGUACCAAAUUGCCAUAAUCAGAAGCAUCUAUCAAGCGGUUUGCAUGUUUGCGUUUGCAUCUCUGACCAAAGUUUCCCAU